UACGGAGGGUGCGAGCGUUGUUCGGAAUCAUUGGGCGUAAAGGGCGCGUAGGUGGCACGGCAAGCGUGCGGUGAAAGCUCGGGGCUCAACCCCGAGUCGGCCGUGCGAACUGCUGAGCUGGAGCACUGUAGAGGCAGAUGGAAUUCCGGGUGUAGCGGUGGAAUGCGUAGAGAUCCGGAAGAACACCGGUGGCGAAGGCGGUCUGCUGGGCAGUAGCUGACACUGAGGCGCGACAGCGUGGGGAGCAAACAGG
rnacentral:rRNA from 1 species